rnacentral:misc_RNA from 1 species
UAGCUGCGAUAUGUAGCCCGAAUUGCAAACCUGUGGAGGGCUAAAAUUUCGAACGCAAAUGGCGCCGUCGGGUUACUCCCGUCGGCACGUCUGUCUGAGUGUUGGUCUGUCUCAAACGCAAGCAUCUUCGUGAUGCUGCGUGAUCAUUUUUGUGAGUGACGCACCCGCGUCUCUUAUUGCCGCUGUAUUCCUAUAAAAAUGGAGCACUAGUCGUUGUGUGCCUUGCUUGGUUCGUUGGCCGGGCUUGUCGUGCGUAGCGUACUUGUAUAGCUCUUUCGCUGACCUCAGAUCAGGCGUGACUCCCCGCUGAACUUAA